GCCUGGGUGGCUCAGUCGGUUGAGCGUCCGACUUCGGCUCAGGUCAUGAUCUCACCUUUCGUGGGUUCGAGCCCCGCGUCGGGCU
rnacentral:tRNA from 1 species